GGAUGAGUUGCGAACGGGUGAGUAACGCGUAGGUAACCUGCCUUGUAGCGGGGGAUAACUAUUGGAAACGAUAGCUAAUACCGCAUAACAAUGGAUGACACAUGUCAUUUAUUUGAAAGGGGCAAUUGCUCCACUACAAGAUGGACCUGCGUUGUAUUAGCUAGUAGGUGAGGUAAUGGCUCACCUAGGCGACGAUACAUAGCCGACCUGAGAGGGUGAUCGGCCACACUGGGACUGAGACACGGCCCAGACUCCUACGGGAGGCAGCAGUAGGGAAUCUUCGGCAAUGGGGGCAACCCUGACCGAGCAACGCCGCGUGAGUGAAGAAGGUUUUCGGAUCGUAAAGCUCUGUUGUAAGUCAAGAACGGGUGUGAGAGUGGAAAGUUCACACUGUGACGGUAGCUUACCAGAAAGGGACGGCUAACUACGUGCCAGCAGCCGCGGUAAUACGUAGGUCCCGAGCGUUGUCCGGAUUUAUUGGGCGUAAAGCGAGCGCAGGCGGUUUGAUAAGUCUGAAGUUAAAGGCUGUGGCUCAACCAUAGUUCGCUUUGGAAACUGUCAAACUUGAGUGCAGAAGGGGAGAGUGGAAUUCCAUGUGUAGCGGUGAAAUGCGUAGAUAUAUGGAGGAACACCGGUGGCGAAAGCGGCUCUCUGGUCUGUAACUGACGCUGAGGCUCGAAAGCGUGGGGAGCGAACAGGAUUAGAUACCCUGGUAGUCCACGCCGUAAACGAUGAGUGCUAGGUGUUGGAUCCUUUCCGGGAUUCAGUGCCGCAGCUAACGCAUUAAGCACUCCGCCUGGGGAGUACGACCGCAAGGUUGAAACUCAAAGGAAUUGACGGGGGCCCGCACAAGCGGUGGAGCAUGUGGUUUAAUUCGAAGCAACGCGAAGAACCUUACCAGGUCUUGACAUCCCGAUGCUAUUUCUAGAGAUAGAAAGUUACUUCGGUACAUCGGUGACAGGUGGUGCAUGGUUGUCGUCAGCUCGUGUCGUGAGAUGUUGGGUUAAGUCCCGCAACGAGCGCAACCCCUAUUGUUAGUUGCCAUCAUUCAGUUGGGCACUCUAGCGAGACUGCCGGUAAUAAACCGGAGGAAGGUGGGGAUGACGUCAAAUCAUCAUGCCCCUUAUGACCUGGGCUACACACGUGCUACAAUGGUUGGUACAACGAGUUGCGAGUCGGUGACGGCGAGCUAAUCUCUUAAAGCCAAUCUCAGUUCGGAUUGUAGGCUGCAACUCGCCUACAUGAAGUCGGAAUCGCUAGUAAUCGCGGAUCAGCACGCCGCGGUGAAUACGUUCCCGGGCCUUGUACACACCGCCCGUCACACCACGAGAGUUUGUAA
rnacentral:rRNA from 1 species